rnacentral:tRNA from 1 species
CGCUCGGUCAGAUGCUGGGCUAAGGAUCGCGGGCUCUGGACCCCGCGGACGCCGGUUCGAAUCCGGCCCGGGCUA